UUGAAAACAAAGCAAACUUGAUCUACAACUCUACCAGAGUGUUCGAAUACGAAUGAAUCAUAGCGUAUAUACUACAUUAUUGCUGAAUAUAAGAGAAUCUCGAAGCAUUGACUGUUAUCUGUGAGAAAAUGGAUAAGCGCAAAGAUAUUCUACUAUUUUUUACCGACUAUCCACGAGAACUGAGUUAUGAGAAGAUCGCUGUAGGUGGUCUUACGCGAGAUAAUCGAACCUCAAAUAAAUAACUAUUCUUUCCAGCUCGAAAGCUAUUCUUUUGUACGUACUAUUCUCUUGGCACGUGUUUAUACCUGGCAGAUGUUAAAUAGCAUUUAAUCAUUAGCAUCAUUACGUUAUUUUUAGUGAAAGUGAUUCAACGUGUAAUGAAGAAUUAUUCAAUUAACUAAAAGCAGCAGUUUAACCAAAACGUGUAACAAAUUCCAAUUAAUUUUAGUUAAGGCAGGAUAUAAUGAUUCUGAUGGUUGACUGGACCAAGAUCGCUGUCCACUUCAUUUUCGAUUCGAAAUAUCAGCAGGUGGGCAUACCUGACAGCUGUACAACUCGACAUUCGUUCACGGUAUUAUUAGCAUUCACAAAAAUGCAGACCAGAACGGAUCGAUGCCCGAAAUUAGCUGUCCAAUAUUAAUUAGCUUUUAGCCUAAUUGCGAUUUUAUUUAUCCAACCAAAUGGGAAACCGAACCGAUCGAGAUCUCAAUCUCAUAAAAUAUAAUUAAUAGACGAAUUCGAAGUUUGGGAAAGUUACGAGUUUGGGAAAUCAGUUAGUCAAUCUAUAAAGAAACACAGACAGUCUAAGAAUCUGAGAAAAUUAAAUUUGGAAGAAAAGUGAUAAAACUAAAUUUAUAAAUCCAUAUAAGUUUUUCUUCCAACCAUUAGUGUCAUCCGCGCUAUAAUAAUUAAUUAAACGCAUUUGGAAAGUGAAAAUAUGACACUACGAAAACUUUGUCAGCACCAAUAAAUAUAGAAUAAAAUAUAGAAUAAAAUGUAGAAAUUUACACGAAAAAGUACAACUGGUAUAUUAAGUAAAUUUAACAUUAACUACGUUAAGUAAUUUACGUCAUCAGUAAUGCAUUUUUGUAAAAUCUUUAAAUGAAAUCCUCUCGUACGCAUAACGUAGUAUAAGUGGCCCUAGAAAAUAUUAAAUUUUCCAAUAAAUUUAUCAAAACUCUAUAGAUCGUUUAUAUAGAAAUAAAAUAAUUGUGUACUGUUGUUAGUUACCAAGGAAAAUAGAGUUAGAAAAAUGAACAAAAAUGGACUUAUUAUACUCGUAUAUUUUCCGCGUAAUUUUCAAUUCGUUUAUAACCUUGAAGUUUGCAUCUAAUUGUCCCUGUUUCGAUCAGUCAGAGAGAAUGUUACGGAAGACAGUGGUAGAGCUUGAUAGAGCAGCCAUACAUAUCUCGGUCACGGAAAGAGCAACCGGGAAUUUUUCUCAUGAAAAGGACCCGAUAAUGCGUCACGACAUUUUCCGUCUAUCCGGUGAAUCUUCUUCGUGGAAUAAAUAUGUAAAUAGGAAUUUCUCGUUUCUCUCGCGGCCGCGCACAAGACUCGCGACAAUCUUGACCUCUCCUGCUCGUAGCUGGUGUCUUCCUCUUUGUUCAAGCCUGGCUUUCGCUCUUCUCUCGCCAAUGUCUCGUGGAAAGACGUCGAACGCCGCUACUGCGUUCUACCUGCGAUAUCAGGCCCGGUCUCCCUUGAAUAAUUCAACGUGCACGCUGCUGCCGAUUUGCAAACGCGGAUGGAACAUCGAUACUUGUACGUACCAAUGUAUCCCGAACUUUUGAAGACGUCCAGAAACUGAAUUGUUGCUGUGGGAAGCUCUACUCGCUCUGUCAGCCAUUGUUCGUGUCGAACGAUCGUAUAAAAGAAAGGAGAUGGAAAAGAUGAAAGGCAAACGUUUUUUCACGAUGACCAGACUCUAUAUAAUACAUGUCCAACUGAAUAUUGAAACUUAUUAACGGAAUAGACAAUCGACUGUUUAAAUACUUUUGUAAUCUCCACGAUUAAAUAUCCUGUAAUUUCUACGUUUAUUUUCAAAUUUGUUUCGCAAACUUCGCCGCAAACUUCGUGUUAGCGUAAUUUCAAAGUAUUUCGUAUAACGGACAUAAUAUAUCCAUAAAAAGCGUUUAUAAGCGUCCAAAUACUUUGGUAAGCUUUAUCUGUACAAAAAAUAAAAUAUCAGAAGAAUAUCGAUCGUCGGCAAGAAAAACAAGGUAACAUCGCUUAUCAUGGGAAAACAGGAUGCGUCCUCUCGAGUAUCGCGUCUUUUCGGUAUCGCGUGUCUUCGUAUAGCUGAUGGCGGUUUCGCGAUCCUGCGCUACUUAACAAACUUACCCUUUAACCCCCGCCGUCUGGGCCAAGCACCGGUGCGGGGACGCGGAAAUUCUUAACGCUGUUAAGAUAUGUUAAUUUUGUUUACCUAUAAGCUAUUAAAGGGGUCCUAACGUGCUUAAAGCUAAAUCAGUUUAGUUUUCGCCGGAUGUGUUCACGGCAGAUCCACCGGAAUACGGCGUGCACAACCUCGAAAGGUAUUUCGCGAGGCAAGUCGGGGAGGCGUAGCCUUCCGCGACAGAAUUUACCACAGCAAGCCUUACCAACAGCACGGCGACGAGAUCUUAUCGGAUAUCUCGACGAUGUUUCGACAAACAUGCAGCUGGUUAUCGAAAUUUCAAAUUCGCCACGGAUUUGAUAUGCUGCCGAACUUACGUUAAAGAUGGAUUACACGUGACUUUCUACCGUGAUUUUACCAAAACCAGCGAGAUUAUCGCUGUUUGCUGAUUGAAAAGUGGAAAGUUUCUGCUCUGGAAGAUUUAUUAACAGCAAUGAUAUUUAUGAAGAUCAGAAGCUGAUGGAAGUAACUGAUUUGACACAUUGAUAGAAGACUAAAUAACAAAAAGCAAGAGUAGACUGCAAUAAGAUGGAGGUGAUAAUAGAAAAUAAUUUGCAGAAUCAUUAGCAAAAGAAUUGUAUCUGUAAUUGUAUGUAUCUGCAUUUAGAUUUGGGAAAAAGAUAAUUCAUCGCAGUGUUUCAUAAAUACUUCAAUUUCUCUAAGCUUUACAAAAUUAUAGAAAUCAGAUGGCAGAUAAGAUAGUGACAAGAAAAGUAUUGAGCAAAUCCUUGUGAUUCUUCUCCAUAACUACGAUAUUAAAAAGUAAGAUUCAUCAAGGUAAGUUGAUCGAUGGAAGACGAGUUUCAUUUAUUAUUUCGCAUUAAUUUUUAUGUAUUAAAAGAAACUUCGUUCCAUCUACUGAUAAAUAAAUAGAUAAAAUAUCUACUACUAUUUCCAUAGAUCACAAGAAAAGUGUACAAAUAAAGAUCGACGAGAAUUAGUUUACAGCUGGCGGUAUUUCGAUUCACGAAAUCGACAAACGAGAAAAUCUUUGCACGGGUACAGCUACAACUUUGCAGCUGCGCUUAUUACUAAUCCACGGCAGAACAAUUUAGGUGUUUGCCAUUACUAAUAACCUGGCGAGCAAACGCAGCAUUAUUAACAGGUUCGCAAACAUCUUCUGUAUUAGUGAUCUCGUCCCCUAUAACCUACAUAGUCUUUCUGUGCACCGAUUUUCCACCAUCGCCGCCCACACGCCAACCCUUAUUCCGAUCUCUUGUACAGAUAUUUGCCGUGUCUACACCGGCCAAAUUAUCUCCGGCGAUUUGAAGAUAAAGGAUUUUCACCGGUGCCGGAGAUACACGGCGCUCCCGCUUGGAUGAAGCCUGAGAAUCAAGUGCUGAUAACUGGCUUCGCUAGUAACUAACGAGAUUACCAGACUGUAGUGACGAAUCUGAGAAUCACAUACUUUUAACAUUUUUCACCGCGUGAUUCUCACGUAUUCUACGUAACACCGUGGUACUUUCGGAAUAUUUUAAAGAUAUUCAUAGUUAACUAUUCCAUCAGACUAAUGAAAUACUCAAUUAUUACAUAUUUAAUAUGUGAUUUGUAAUAAGCGAUUAAUACACGCUAUAAGAAUUUACAGUUUUUUUAAAAUAUUAAGAUUAGUUAUUUUUUAUGUAGAAUACCAUUAAGCCAUUCCGUUAUUAUAAGCAUACAGAUCGUUUCAUUGUUUCAUUUGUAGCGUAAAAUAGCUCGUUUCUGUUUGAGUAGAAUGAUCGAAUAUGUAAAUAUAGGAAUAUUUGUUAUCUCUGAUCCUAGUGAUUGAUAUAAUUACGAAUAAAUUUAUUAAAACCACGAAAUAAUUAUCGUAUCAGCGGAAUUUAUUUUCAUUUAUCACAUAAACUCGUCUUCAACAGAACCGAAACGAUGCAGCAAACAACACUCAGCUCACGAAAUAAAUAACUUAUCACGUGCAAGAUAUUCGAUAACCCUGGUGACAGGUUAAUUCGUCUCUUCCCAGUGAGCAGGUCAAAAGUGCUUGGAAAAUUCUAGUGCAACCUCCCCGCGCUAUUUAUAAAUCAUCGAUGGAUAUUAAUAACAGAUCGACGCGCGACACAUGGCACCGAGCGUAUUUUCCAACUUUAUUUCUGCGACAGGAACGACAUCCCGCCGUGAAUCAUUUUGACGGAUGCUUCUGCAUUUUGCGGCAAGUUGAUGUUAAUUCUCUCGAACAAGCUGAGAAGGAACAGUUACUAUUUCGACAUAUUUGAUCGCUAUGGAGAAAGGAUUGCACGAAGUGUUCUGGCAUUCUCGAACUGGCACGUCAAGAUUUAUCAGGCAUCAGAAUAGGAUCAAGCUUGUCGAGCGAGCGUAGCCGUGAAUAUUCGUUGCCUACACAGGAUUACGAAAUAGUCGGGACGACCCGAAGCGGAUUGACUCACUGACAGUUUUUGGCGCGACGCAGUUUGUUUCGCGGAGUCGAACACGGACUGCAUUAAUAUUCUGGCAACGUCGUCAAACAGAGCAGUUAUCCCGUUCCCCGUGCUUUCCUCUUUCGUCUUCUCCUCUUAAUCUCUGCUUGCCUCUUUCGCUACACAGUCGGCCUUUCCUUUGCCUUGCAAAUCUUUCCGAGAACGCGAAAGUUUUUUCGAAUACGCGACCGUCUUCUUGCGCUCGCGUGAUUCUUUUACGCGCAAGGACGAUCGAUUUUGCAAAUUCACGUGGAAUUCGUGUUAGUUCGGCCCGCGAGAGUUAAGAUAAUAUAGAAGCUGGAGAUGAAAACAGAAGGAAAUAAAAGCGACGAGAUAUCGUAAAGAUACAUAUUACAGAAGCGUUCGUCAUUUUUCAUAAAAUAUUGCUCAUUCUACUUGACAAUUCUAGUCUUAAUUAACUAUUAGAAACCCGGAUUAAUGCGCAAUUAGGACAAUUUCCAACAUUGUUAAUAACAUCGAGUCGUUCUGAAGUUAUAAAAGAGGUGAUGAAACGCUUAGUAAUUGAAUACGUAGUAAAUAACAUUGAAAUAUCAUUUGAAGAAAAUUUAAGAAAAUGAGUCAAUUAAGCCGAACAGAUCAAAGUUGCACGAUAAAGUGGAAGAAGAUUAAAGAAGUACACCAUCGAGUAGAUUCACGAAUUUCAAAAUGACAGUAAACCGAACGAUCAUGAAACGUGCACGUGUAUUUCGGGUUUCGUGAGUCAUAUGAGAUGACGUUAUCGUGUUUGGAUCAUACACCACGGAGCGAGUGUAGUCAAGAGUCAAUGCCAGAAAUAAUGUUGCUACAUGAGCUUUGCUAGAGUCGGGGGUGAUGUCCUAACAGCAUCAGUUAACGAAUUAUAUUUAUCCAGUCGGGACUUCAAUGUCUUCUUAUUCCUAUUACUAUGUCUUUCCUUUUGCUCUUUAACUUCGUUUCAUCCACAGAAGUGCUACUUAUACUUAUGGCAGCUAUUGUAGUUCAAAGUUGAGAGAAGGAUAUAGUUAAUUAUUCCAAAUACCUUGUAUAAUAUUACAAUAUUAUACUAUUUGCAUAUUGACAUUAAUCGCAAAAUUGGACCGUAAAGGCAGUUUCUAUGUUAAGUUAAAUUAAAAAUACCAUUGGACUUCGACAAUUCGACAAUUAAUCCACCUAAUAUAGAUUUUUAUAAAAUUGUUAAGAGAAAAUCAAUUUUCCUUUGUGCAAACACAAUCAGACGAAAUAUAUUCAUACGUAUCAAGUAAAAUAUCGUUUGAAAUUCUACGGAUCAUUGCGGUUGCUCAAGGGUUAGAACUAACUGGAAAAGAACACUCUAACAAAAUCUUAUCCAAAAUUCAACGAUAAGAUCUUCCAACUAAAGGAACCAUCCCUUAAAUCACCGUCUCUUCGAAAUUCUAAUUUUCAUACUCCAGUGAUAAUACCAACUUACGUUUGGUGGAAGGCAGAGGUCGGUAGGAAUCGAGUGAACCAGAUACACGCGAACGAAGGAAUUGAAAAACUGAAUACGGCGUAUACGGAUUUGUUAUCCCCCCGAUCACCAGCAGGCUCGAGACAAAUGCGCCCUCCCCCCCCCCCCCCGACCCAGGGGGUAGGGGGCCGUACGGGGGUCGGUGAUAAACAGUGUCGCUCAUUCACAAUGGCCGGCAAACACGCAUUAAAACGGACUAAUAUGAAGUGUAUUAAUGCGAGCGGCAUUGUCUAACCCAUGGUGUACAUGGCUACUGUCGUGGAGCCUGCCUUUAUCCCACCGUGGGGGGCCUUGCGAUGCUUACAUACGUAUAUAGGCCCUCUCGAUAUACCCAGUGACUUUUUAAAAGCCGCCGCAGCAAGGAAAAUACAUUCUUCAAUCUCUUAUGAAUGGGCCAACUCAUUCUCCAGGGAUUUUAAAUGAAUUGACAAGUUUUGCACUGGUGGAGCAGAUGGACGCGUAAAUAUUCCAAACUAAAACAUGUUAUGGAAGUAUUAAAGAAUUGUGAAAAUUAAUUCGCAAAGAAGACUAACAAAUUAAUUCGAUUAUCUAUCGUAUAAAGUGUUUACCUUUGGUUCGUAGUUUUAAAGUUUCAGGUCGCAGGUCUCUGAAUACAAAUUGUUUGUGUUUCGAUGUUCUGCGAUGGACACAGUGCUAGAACGUUUAAUAGAUCGCUUGGAUUGCUUAGCAGAUACUAGAAAAAUCGAGCAGCAAACGUUUGAAGUUAAGGCACAAGUUGCACAUAUGCAAUAGAUAUGCAAUGCAAAUAUAUACAAUGUGAAACUGAUUUAUUCGCUGUAGGAGGAAAACCCCUAGAUCUACCAUAUUUUUUUUAAUAGGAAACGUAUUGUCCUCCUUUUUCUACGACGACAACUCACUAUCAAUAAUUCUUCUACGGUACAAUAUAAAUACACCAAAGGAACUGAAAUAGUCGAAUAUAAAGCGAGGAAAAGAACUGUUGCAAAUGAAUGACGAAGUGGAGCAGUGGAAGACAGACAUUAAAGUGUAUUCCAAGAAGCGUUCAAGUACAAGGUUACGAGGUACACCCCGUAUGGGACCAAUCGCAGGGUAGUGCUGCAAGCUAGUUCUGCCCACUGGUCUAAAUUAUGGGGUCGCUGUCCAGCUCGCCACGCAUAAAUGAUUGCCCGUGUUAUGUUAAACAUCCAACAACGGAGAGCCCCGAGAGCUCACCCACACGAAACAUCCGAUGAAGGUGGAAGAGAAGCUGGAUAAGGGAAGAAGAGAAGUGGAGGAAGAGGCGAACGUUAUUUAUCUCGAGCAGUCGCACGAGCAAGGAUUUUGAAUAAUUCCUGGUCGGCGGAAGAGGUCGAGGAUCUUGCAACUCCAGGCCACUUCGUAUUGUCCAUAAAUAUUCUCCAGUCUGCAAAAAGUGUUCGACCACGGGCCACGCGUGCAACAUCACAUUUUCGUACCUCACAUUCUCAUCCUCUAUCCUCAAUUUGCUCUUCCUGACAGAUACAGGGCAUUCAUCUUUUGUAUUAUACAAUUCUCGAAGCUGCAACAUGUUGCCGCGUUUUUCCUCACAUUUCGGAAUCUCGAAAACGUCUCAAUAAUUUUCGACACGAAUUUUUAUAUCAGUUACGUUUUUCCUAGUGCGUUUAUAGAUCAGGAUGAAGAAGAGUUCUGUCUAUUUUGGGAUUUCCUAAAAUCACUGUAGGAUUUGUCUGCUGUUGAAAAGUUGAACGACAAACUAUUCUUUAUAACAAAGUGUAUCGUAGGCUUUGUAUUGUAUACGAGACAGGUAGAAAAAUUUACAAUGAAGACAGUCUUCUUUAGAUGAAUUAGUUUAGAUCAUUGUAAAACUUUUUCACAGGAAAAAUGUUGAAUACUGAGAACUAGACUACAAAGGCAUUGAAAGAAUAUUUAACUAAAAAAGAAUGAAAAAAUCAUCAUCAACGGAAUAGGUAGGAGACAAUCAUCAAUAAUGAAAGAUUAAAUAGUAGAACUUUUAAUUAGACUUCUUUUCUUUCUGAGAAUUUCCUAUCAUCGGUCUAAUGUUUUCCAAACGAACCGAUCUUAAUGUAUCUUCCAAAUAGGAGCGUAGAAUAUGAUCUUUCCACUGAUUGUGAGAAUAGACGGUUCUAUCGCGGAAAGUGCAACAAUUUGCUGGACACACGAAUGCCUCAGAAACAAAAAUACAGUUGGUGAUCGACUCAGAGAUCGGUCGGUCAGUGACCAACGAGGAAAAAGACAUAUUAGAGACAUCAUAAUGCCAGGGCGAAGCUGUGUUCCAAUUUAUAACCGGAUGAUAUCGCGAUAGAGUCUCAGGUUCGAGGCAUUGUGUUCGGUAGGGUUUCGUUCCUGAUGUUACACCGGGCAUCGACUGGGUGGGGUCUUGGUGCCUUGGUGGCCUGCCACAAGGUAUCCUUUUGAUAUCCUGUUAACUAAUGCCAGCUAUUCGUUACAGACGAAUAACUCAAGAGACGUAUACGUUUUCCGCUUAAAGAAUACUGCCGCGUUUCAUGAACGAUUCGACACACUCGAGUUCUCGUUCGAAGAUUCUUCAAAGUCUAUCGAAGUAUUGUUCUUUGGGAUAUCGAUCUUUUCGAUCCAAUAUCGGAAUAAAGCUUCACAAUUUUAUAUUCUUCACGUGUAUUCUAUUUUAUUUUAAAGUAUUUGUUGGAAGUUAUUGCGACGAACGUUAUUUGUAUUCUCUAUUAAUUUCUUUCAAUUUGUUUAUACAGAUAAGCACAGUUAUUUGGAACAGAGUUGAAACAUAAUAAAUACGUACGUAUUCAAGUACGAAGUAUUAUCAAAACCUCCUUUACAACGUUUUAUCUGAAUGCGACGUAAAAAUAAUCUCACAGAGAAAAGGACAAGGUAAAAAGAACUUGAAAGACGCAUAGAUUAACACGUGCAAAGCAAAGGAAGAAUGUAAAGAAGUAUAUAUAAAGCUUAUGUAAUAUAGUGGGUGAAUGAAGGGAAAAAAAUCCUGGUUACAACGAGCGAGAAAAAGGACACCACGAUGAGAUAUGAAGUUGAAUCCACGAGAUUCUUAUUCAUGAAGGAAUACUUAUUUUAUACAGGAGAUAAGAAAAAUCUACAUUAUUGGGUACGAGUCCAAUCAUCAAAAGAAAAGCAUAGUAUUGCGUGAUAGCAGUUUCUUAGUGGAUAGGUACUUACCUUGCAAUUACUCCUCUGGAAGAAUGAUAAAUAUAUCUGGGUUGCAUAAACCUGAACCGCCGCCAUUUCUCUUUCCACGGCAUCAACGAUCUCCAAUACGCUUUGCGACAGGUGAAUCGGCCAAAGAGUGCACCCUUUACAGCAAAAGAAUUAAUCGGAACGACGGCACAGAACGUGAUCCCGUCAGGUUGAGUCCAGGAGUAGAGGAUCGUGCUGGAGGGGCAGGACGAGGUUGGUCAAGUCCUUCCUUGUCGGGAUCACUCUAGUAGGCGGUACCAACGUGGCCAGGCCUACCUCUCUUCUGACUCGGGUGUAACAAUGGAUCUGCAACAAUAUAAGCAUCUCGUUUUCGUCCGGAUCUAAACUCGCUUCUGUGCUCUUCCUCUGACGUAUACACUGAUACAUGACAAGUAGCCAGCCCAACAAAACGCCGGGACUGAAUAUACAGUCGGUAAUGCGCUAUUGUAUCGACUUUAAAUAUCCGUUGGUUUCGUCUUCCGAGCGGUUUCCGGUAUUCAACGUUCUCCUGAAUCUUCACACGUUAACAGAAACUUUAACACGUGAGGAAAAUUAGACGUUGAUACAAAAAGGUACAAAUAUAGGUAAUAUAUAGAAAUGGUAAUUCUAUUCCGAACUGGAAUACUAUUGGUUAGGUAUUACCAGUGGGAAUAGAAUAUUGUAUAAGCACGGGUAUUUAAUUUCAGAUACGAAGAAAUAUUUAUCGUGUAUAGCGAAUAUAAUAAGAUGUAUAGUGGAAUCUUUUCUAAGAAUUAUGAAUGCAUUUGUUGUAUGUGAUAAUGAGUAAGGAAUAAAAUAGAAUAAAAAAUAAGAACAAAUAAACAAAAAAGAGAUGGUAGUAAAAUAAAAAUGAAGAAAUAAAAAAAAUAGAAAUUUUCCUUUCUGUUAUGAAAUUAGAAUAUUCAUACUUAAUGAGAACAUGUCUGAAUAUACUACAUAUACAUAUACCUGGGCGUAUUUAAAGUAUAAUUGCAUGUAAUUUUAGCUAAACUUUCUAUGCUAGAAGAACACAGAUCUACAAUUUUAAGCACGAAAGUUGAAAUAAGAAUGAUAAAUGGAAAAUAUAUAGAAUUAUUAUUCACAAAAAUAUUUAUACGUUGUUACAUCCCUGGUAUGAAUUUUAUAAUACAUAAUUUCUAGAAAUACACCGAAUUUACGAAAUUAAUUAAAUUCCAACUUAUAAUCACGUACAUAUAUUUUUCUUAAAAGCAGAAUUAAAGAGACUCGUGUUAUAUGGUGUUUGUAACCGAGCCAUGAAAAUAUUAUGAAAACACCAGUUCGGUUUUUGUUCAUUUACGCUUUGUUAAAUGAACAUCUCAUGAAUUAUAAAAAUUUUUUACCUUUGCGGCCGGGGAUUAAGUUUUACAUUCACAGCGUCGAGCGUAUUUUACACUACGUCUGGUCCAACAUUAAAAAUAGAUAAUGGAGCGGUGAAAAUAAACAGUCAUCUACGUGCAAUCGCUACGUAAGCAUGCGUCGUGGAAAAAACAACAGAUAUGGAGAACAGGUUUCAGAUAGAGACAGGUAUAUACCUGUGGACACGGCGAUAGAUGAUCUCUACAAAAUGAUGUACCAAUGAUGUUGACAAUCUAGCGCCGAGAAUACGACGAUUCUCGUUCAACUAGCCUCGGUAACAAGCCUCAUUGCCACUUUAUUAUCGCAAACAGAUCUGCCAGGAAUAGCCACAAAUCACACAGAACUGGUUAUCCGGUGCGUCAUACAUGAGCUUAUGUCCGUGUUUCUCAACAGCAUUAUCUAUGGAAACGGACUAACUCUCCUAUACUGAAUACGAUGGGAAAUAUUCUCGAAACAGCAUGGAACAAUUAGCAAUUAGCAUAAUUUCCAAUCCAUUACCUCCUAAUAGAAAUUCGAAUGUAUGCACAGAAGUGACUAAAAGGCAUACAUGUAACAGCUUUGAUUUAUUAACUUCUAAAUUAAUUUGUAUACGAGAAUAAAUGUGAUUCGUAAAGAUA